rnacentral:rRNA from 1 species
AGAGUUUGAUUAUGGCUCAGAGCGAACGCUGGCGGCAGGCUUAACACAUGCAAGUCGAGCGGGCAUCGCAAGAUGUCAGCGGCAGACGGGAGAGUAACACGUGGGAACAUGCCCUUCGGUUCGGAAUAACUCAGGGAAACUUGAGCUAAUACCGGAUACGUCCGUAAGGAGAAAGAUUUAUCGCCGAAGGAUUGGCCCGCGUCCGAUUAGCUAGUUGGUGAGGUAACGGCUCACCAAGGCGACGAUCGGUAGCUGGUCUGAGAGGAUGAUCAGCCUCACUGGGACUGAGACACGGCCCAGACUCCUACGGGAGGCAGCAGUGGGGAAUAUUGGACAAUGGGCGCAAGCCUGAUCCAGCCAUGCCGCGUGGGUGAUGAAGGCCCUAGGGUUGUAAAGCCCUUUCGGCGGGGAAGAUAAUGACGGUACCCGCAGAAGAAGCCCCGGCUAACUUCGUGCCAGCAGCCGCGGUAAUACGAGGGGGGCUAGCGUUGCUCGGAAUCACUGGGCGUAAAGCGCACGUAGGCGGAUUGUUAAGUCAGGGGUGAAAUCCUGGAGCUCAACUCCAGAACUGCCUUUGAUACUGGCGAUCUUGANUCCGGGAGAGGUGAGUGGAACUGCGAGUGUANNGGUGAAAUUCGUAGAUAUUCGC